rnacentral:lncRNA from 10 species
UUGAAAAGCAGUAGCUGCCUUUCUUCCCCUUGUCUUUUUAAAAAUUAUUAUUUAUAUCACCCUCAUCAUCACAAAAUGAUUUCAAUUAAGUAUACACAUGGACUUUUAAAACUCACUUUACCAGUAUAGAUAUGUAUAUGCAUACUCAUAUGCUGUGGGGAGGUCCUAUUUCAUGCAUAUGUUUAGAAUGGCCACUUUUUUCCAUUAAGUUCCUAUGGUACUGAGCCAGCGAGCCAUGAGCUAUACUGAAUAAAGUCCCAGGGAAUUGACUUUUUGCAGCAUUACCCUAAGCCCUGGGUAGGACAGGCUUCUGCCUUGGGCUCUGUAUGUUAGAGGACCCACAUCAUCAAGUCCCUGAG